rnacentral:rRNA from 1 species
GUAUGUACAGCCUGCGAGUUCUUGUAGCAAUACAAGGCAGACGGCUCAGUAACGCGUAGUCAACCUACCCUAUGGACGGGGAUAACCUCGGGAAACUGAGAAUAAUACCCGAUAGAACACUAUACCUGGAAUGGUUUGUGUUCCAAAUAAUUUAUUGCCGUAGGAUGGGACUGCGGCCUAUCAGUUUGUUGGUGAGGUAAUGGCCCACCAAGACUAUUACAGGUACGGGCUCUGAGAGGAGUGGCCCGGAGAUGGGUACUGAGACACGGACCCAGGCCCUAUGGGGCGCAGCAGGCGAGAAAACUUUGCAAUGUGCGAAAGCACGACAAGGUUAAUCCGAGUGGUUUCUGCUAAAGGAACCUUUUGACAGUCCUAGAAACACUGUUGAAUAAGGGGUGGGCAAGUUCUGGUGUCAGCCGCCGCGGUAAAACCAGCACCUCAAGUGGUCAGGAUGAUUAUUGGGCCUAAAGCAUCCGUAGCCGGCUCUGUAAGUUUUCGGUUAAAUCUGUACGCUUAACGUACAGGCUGCUGGGAAUACUGCAGAGCUAGGGAGUGGGAGAGGUA